rnacentral:rRNA from 1 species
GAUGAACGCUGGCGGCGUGCCUAAUACAUGCAAGUCGAGCGAACGGACGAGAAGCUUGCUUCUCUGAUGUUAGCGGCGGACGGGUGAGUAACACGUGGAUAACCUACCUAUAAGACUGGGAUAACUUCGGGAAACCGUAGCUAAUACCGGAUAAUAUUUUGAACCGCAUGGUUCAAAAGUGAAAGACGGUCUUGCUGUCACUUAUAGAUGGAUCCGCGCUGCAUUAGCUAGUUGGUAAGGUAACGGCUUACCAAGGCAACGAUGCAUAGCCGACCUGAGAGGGUGAUCGGCCACACUGGAACUGAGACACGGUCCAGACUCCUACGGGAGGCAGCAGUAGGGAAUCUUCCGCAAUGGGCGAAAGCCUGACGGAGCAACGCCGCGUGAGUGAUGAAGGUCUUCGGAUCGUAAACCUCUGUUAUUAGGGAAGAACAUAUGUGUAAGUAACUGUGCACAUCUUGACGGUACCUAAUCAGAAAGCCACGGCUAACUACGUG